rnacentral:rRNA from 1 species
GAUGAACGCUAGCUACAGGCUUAACACAUGCAAGUCGAGGGGCAGCAUUUUAGUUUGCUUGCAAACUGAAGAUGGCGACCGGCGCACGGGUGAGUAACACGUAUCCAACCUGCCGAUAACUCCGGAAUAGCCUUUCGAAAGAAAGAUUAAUACCGGAUGGCAUACGAAUAUCGCAUGAUAUUUUUAUUAAAGAAUUUCGGUUAUCGAUGGGGAUGCGUUCCAUUAGUUUGUUGGCGGGGUAACGGCCCACCAAGACUACGAUGGAUAGGGGUUCUGAGAGGAAGGUCCCCCACAUUGGAACUGAGACACGGUCCAAACUCCUACGGGAGGCAGCAGUGAGGAAUAUUGGUCAAUGGGCGAGAGCCUGAACCAGCCAAGUAGCGUGAAGGAUGAAGGCUCUAUGGGUCGUAAACUUCUUUUAUAUGGGAAUAAAGUUUUCCACGUGUGGAAUUUUGUAUGUACCAUAUGAAUAAGGAUCGGCUAACUCCGUGCCAGCAGCCGCGGUAAUACGGAGGAUCCGAGCGUUAUCCGGAUUUAUUGGGUUUAAAGGGAGCGUAGGCGGAUUGUUAAGUCAGUUGUGAAAGUUUGCGGCUCAACCGUAAAAUUGCAGUUGAUACUGGCAGUCUUGAGUGCAGUAGAGGUGGGCGGAAUUCGUGGUGUAGCGGUGAAAUGCUUAGAUAUCACGAAGAACUCCGAUUGCGAAGGCAGCUCACUGGAGUGUAACUGACGCUGAUGCUCGAAAGUGUGGGUAUCAAACAGGAUUAGAUACCCUGGUAGUCCACACAGUAAACGAUGAAUACUCGCUGUUUGCGAUAUACAGUAAGCGGCCAAGCGAAAGCAUUAAGUAUUCCACCUGGGGAGUACGCCGGCAACGGUGAAACUCAAAGGAAUUGACGGGGGCCCGCACAAGCGGAGGAACAUGUGGUUUAAUUCGAUGAUACGCGAGGAACCUUACCCGGGCUUAAAUUGCAAAUGAAUUAUGGGGAAACCCAUACGCCGCAAGGCAUUUGUGAAGGUGCUGCAUGGUUGUCGUCAGCUCGUGCCGUGAGGUGUCGGCUUAAGUGCCAUAACGAGCGCAACCCUUAUCUUCAGUUACUAACAGGCCAUGCUGAGGACUCUGGAGAGACUGCCGUCGUAAGAUGUGAGGAAGGUGGGGAUGACGUCAAAUCAGCACGGCCCUUACGUCCGGGGCUACACACGUGUUACAAUGGGGGGUACAGAAGGCCGCUACCUGGUGACAGGAUGCCAAUCCCAAAAACCUCUCUCAGUUCGGAUCGAAGUCUGCAACCCGACUUCGUGAAGCUGGAUUCGCUAGUAAUCGCGCAUCAGCCAUGGCGCGGUGAAUACGUUCCCGGGCCU